UGGGGAAUAUUGCGCAAUGGGGGGAACCCUGACGCAGCCAUGCCGCGUGAAUGAAGAAGGCCUUCGGGCUGUAAAGUUCUUUCGGUAUUGAGGAAGGUUGAUGUGUUAAUAGUACAUCAAAUUGACGUUAAAUACAGAAGAAGCACCGGCUAACUCCGUGCCAGCAGCCGCGGUAAUACGGAGGGUGCGAGCGUUAAUCGGAAUAACUGGGCGUAAAGGGCACGCAGGCGGUUAUUUAAGUGAGGUGUGAAAGCCCCGGGCUUAACCUGGGAAUUGCAUUUCAGACUGGGUAGCUAGAGUACUUUAGGGAGGGGUAGAAUUCCACGUGUAGCGGUGAAAUGCGUAGAGAUGUGGAGGAAUACCGAAGGCGAAGGCAGCCCCUUGGGAAUGUACUGACGCUCAUGUGCGAAAGCGUGGGGAGCAAACAGGAUUAGAUACCCUGGUAGUCCACGCUGUAAACGCUGUCGAUUUGGGGAUUGGGCCUUGAGCUUGGUGCCCGAAGCUAACGUGAUAAAUCGACCGCCUGGGGAGUACGGCCGCAAGGUUA
rnacentral:rRNA from 1 species